CCCAACGAUGGAGUCCGAGUCCAAAUAACUUAGAGUCGAUGUGAAGGGAAUUCAUUGUGCCAUGGCAUCUUACCAAAUGAGGCUGAUUGAGACACCUCAGUUAACAGAGGAUGGAGAGGCAAGAGAUGGAUGGUUUACCAAACUGCAGCUUAACAAGGAUCAAGGAGGGAUCUUCUGGAAAAUCCAGAGACUGAGGAACACCAGCCAUCAAGGGAUUCUGCUCCUUUUAAGCACCUCCUGAUUGGUUCAACGAGCUGCAGCUGCGGAGCCUGUCAGUCACACCCUGCUGAAGAGCCUGUUCACACUGUUCAAAAAAUGGCUGUAAUUUCUCCUCCUGGUCAGCAGGAGGCAGCGACAGCAGGAGUCUGAAAAUCAAGAAGGAGGAAGUGGUUGUGCUGUACGUUUUAACAAUACGUUUUAAAAUGUAUUUUUAUUCUUUAUUUUGGCGUUAAGAUGUGCAUCAAACAGUUGUUAUUAAAGGUCAAACAUAUUUUCAACCCAUAUGAGCGCUGUUGGGUUGUUGGUCUUUUGGAGAAGGUUGAAAAUAGAGAUGUUCUGUCAGUUAGCUUAGUUAGCCUUUUAUCCAUGCUAAAGCAGUGUUGCAUUGUGGGUAGUCAAACUGCGUUUUAAACCAUAAAUCCAACCUUAAAACUUUGUUUUUCAAUUUUCUGCAACAGUCAUUCCAGUAUUUUUAACUGGUGU